AGUCGAGCGGCAGCGGAAAGUAGCUUGCUACUUUGCCGGCGAGCGGCGGAGGGUGAGUAAUGUCUGGGAAACUGCCUGAUGGAGGGGGAUAACUACUGGAAACGGUAGCUAAUACCGCAUAACGUCGCAAGACCAAAGAGGGGGACCUUCGGGCCUCUUGCCAUCAGAUGUGCCCAGAUGGGAUUAGCUAGUAGGUGGGGUAACGGCUCACCUAGGCGACGAUCCCUAGCUGGUCUGAGAGGAUGACCAGCCACACUGGAACUGAGACACGGUCCAGACUCCUACGGGAGGCAGCAGUGGGGAAUAUUGCACAAUGGGCGCAAGCCUGAUGCAGCCAUGCCGCGUGUAUGAAGAAGGCCUUCGGGUUGUAAAGUACUUUCAGCGGGGAGGAAGGCGGUGAGGUUAAUAACCUCAUCGAUUGACGUUACCCGCAGAAGAAGCACCGGCUAACUCCGUGCCAGCAGCCGCGGUAAUACGGAGGGUGCAAGCGUUAAUCGGAAUUACUGGGCGUAAAGCGCACGCAGGCGGUCUGUCAAGUCGGAUGUGAAAUCCCCGGGCUCAACCUGGGAACUGCAUUCGAAACUGGCAGGCUAGAGUCUUGUAGAGGGGGGUAGAAUUCCAGGUGUAGCGGUGAAAUGCGUAGAGAUCUGGAGGAAUACCGGUGGCGAAGGCGGCCCCCUGGACAAAGACUGACGCUCAUGUGCGAAAGCGUGGGGAGCAAAC
rnacentral:rRNA from 1 species